GUCGUGCGUCGUGCCGUGCGCCAUGCCGUGUCCUGCGGCUGGGUGUGGGGGUUCGCUUUUGCUGUAGCGAUGAACGUGCAGCACAGACAGCGUUCCCUCCCAUCCCGACCCCUGCAGGCCUGCACCCCCUCCUUCCCUCUCUCCUCCUUUCUCCUCCCCAGCCACCAAUCCGCCUUCUCGUCUCGCUGCUUCGUCUCCUCCACCGCCUUGUCUCCGGCAGCCCUACCUCACAACACGUUUCUCGAGGAGCAACGCGAGCAAGGCCAGCAGGAGUGGAUCGAGGCUUCGCACGCUGGCUCCGUCAUUUGCUUCGCCACGUUUUGGAUUCACGCCGCCGUGUGUGAUGGUUCUAGAUCGGCGCAGGUCGUCGUCGCGGAAUAUCAGGGGCGGUGGGUUCUUCACAUCGAGGGUUGGCAAGCUGGGGAGGGUCAAGAGGCUGACAGAGCGUGUUUAGAGCAGCGAGGUCGGCUGUAGGGGAGCGGCUACCCCAGAGCUUCAGACUGCGCACGCGUUGCGAGUUUGGCUGUGGGGGAGCGGCUGCCCGGAGCUCGGUUGCGCACACCUCAUGGGAUCUGGUCUCACCAGGCACUCGAUGCCGGCCUCGUCGGCUUCCCGAGGUGACACAACAACGGUCACGCUCGACACCCUCUUUCGCGAUUCGAUGACGGCCGGCUCAUACGGCGGCCUCAGCGGGUGGCUAACACAACUGCAGCUGGUGCACGAGCUCUCAGUCGACACAUCCACACUCGACUCCUCGUCUUGGGUGCGGAGUGCGGGCUGAGAGUUGGAUGCUUUGUGCUAGCAUAUAGAAGUGCUGCAACCACCAUUGUUCCGGCUGUGAGGUCACUAGAGAGGGAGUCUGGCUUGCGAGUUUCGCUGAUGCGGUCAAAACCGCGAUGCCAAACUCUGAGGAGAUACCAAAGGUGUACUGGGAGGCGGUGCUUCCUGGAAUCCCAAUGCCUCCACCUAUUAUCAACCUGCUGUUAGCCCAGCAAGAUGAUGUUCUCUUUUGUUGGUUGCGGUUCUGCAUAACUAUUGCUGGUCGCUGGAGCAGAAGCAGUGAAGCUUGAAGUUUAUAAGUUCGGGGGAUGGCAAUAAUACUGCUGUUUACGCUGUCUGUCGCUGUUAUUUCAUGUUUCUGAAUUUAAGUCCCGAGAACUAAGUGUCGGUGUCAUCAAACUUUAAUGUUAUGUCAUGUCUUGAGAGUUUGGUUUGUGCGAGUGUGUACUAAACUACUCUUGGAUGCUAUGUUUGAGUCAAAUUGGUGUUAAAUCUGCAACAUAUUGUUAUA